rnacentral:lncRNA from 1 species
UCACCCCAAAAAUCUGGGCCAUCUCCACCUUACCUGUUUGCUACUGCACAUGAAUGGCCUCCUCAGAAGUGCAAAUGCUGAAGAUGGGGGCUUCAUGCAUCCUCUGCUAGUGGCCUGCAUCUAGUGAUGUUUGCAUGCAGGUUUUGGGGUCAAUUUCCAACCAAUAAACUGCACAACAAUGUACUUUCUGGUAAGAUGUCCCUAAAGUAGCUCACCCAUGUACAAUGCUCUUCUUUUUCCCAUGUAGAUGUUGCUUAACAUCUUCAAGUUAAGUAAUCCAUUCUACUUCCAUUUGAAUCUGAAGUCAAAUUGUUGAUAUCUUCCAAUCAUCUUCAUUUUUGUAGAGAUGUUUGGCCACUAUGCUGUGCUGCAUCAAUAGACAUUGCAAGCAUGUAGUUCAGGAAAACUACAAGAUAUGGUCAUGUUGAAUUUUGGGUCAUAUUUUGAAUACAAUUUAGUUCAUACUCUCAAUUUGACUCAACUUUUUUGUUUUUCCAAAAUGGCAAAAUUGCAAAUAUGGGUUGGUUAUAACCUCUGUGUAGUGUCAAAACACAUCUUAGAACCCUCAAAUGUGCUAGGUGAAUGUCUCCUUCUCUUGAGAACAUCAAGUUGUGUAAAAAUGCAUCUGCUGUGACUAUGAACUUAGGCAUUUGUGGUGCUUCCAAGCAAAUGGAAAGAUAUUUCCCUCUCAAUUUCUGGUGUACUGAGCAGCUGAAGUACAGAGGCUUAUACAAAUGUACAGCAAAUUAAAGGACACUUCAUUGUUGUCAUGUGCAUGUGAUAUCUCAAUCCAAAUUUCUUGGUGUUUUGUCCAUUUCUCCCUUACAAUUCAAAAAUCUAGGUCAAGUAAUAAAAUAUAAAAAAAAAUAAAAACAUGAUCCAAAAAACAGCAAGACCCUCUCCACAUGAACUGCAACACAGAAUGUGGUCAGACCAUGU